rnacentral:rRNA from 1 species
UAGGGAAUCUUCGGCAAUGGACGAAAGUCUGACCGAGCAACGCCGCGUGAGUGAAGAAGGUUUUCGGAUCGUAAAACUCUGUUGUUAGAGAAGAACAAGGACGUUAGUAACUGAACGUCCCCUGACGGUAUCUAACCAGAAAGCCACGGCUAACUACGUGCCAGCAGCCGCGGUAAUACGUAGGUGUCAAGCGUUGUCCGGAUUUAUUGGGCGUAAAGCGAGCGCAGGCGGUUUCUUAAGUCUGAUGUGAAAGCCCCCGGCUCAACCGGGGAGGGUCAUUGGAAACUGGGAGACUUGAUUGCAGAAGAGGAGAGUUGAAUUCCAUUUGUAGCGGUGAAUUGCGUGGAUAUAUGGAGAAACACCAGUGGCGAAGGCUGCUCUCUGGUCUGUAACUGACGCUGAGGCUCGAAAGCGUGGGGAGCAAACAGG